ACGGACGAUGUGGUGCAGGAGGUGCGUCUGGUCGCGGAGGAAGGAGGUGUGCGUCUGACUGAAGCAGAGGGAGGACACCGCCUGCGCUGGAGCACCGGAGAAGCGUCACCGUCGUUGUCCUCUCCAUGUCCCGUGUUAGGUCCGCCUCCUUCUCCUCUCCUCUUGGAUUUCUUCUUUUCUUCCCUUCCCUUCCCUUCCAUUCCCUGAGAUGACAUGUUCUUUCCUGCCUUGCCUCACGCACGUAGCUGCAAGACCAAGUAACUCAAGUUCAAGGUGCGGAUGCAGAGAGACAGUGGCGGAGCCAGGAUUGGGGCAAGCCCCGGGCCCAAAAUAGUUUUUGGCGUGAGGAAAAACUUAACGUACAUAGUUACCUCAAAAGAUACCCAUACAAAAUAUGGCUCAAUUGCACUAAAAUUUUAGAAUUUAAACUCAAAACUUAAUGAUACAACAAAAUGGGUAAAAACAUAGUUGAAAACUACAAAGAACAGUACAUGAUGAAAAAGUGUACCAAUCAAUGGUUUGCUUCAUCUGUGCCUCACAUAACCUCAUCAACGAUGGAAGAAGAGCCAACACCUUCAAGAUAUGAAAAGCAAAAUUUCGUAAGAGAAGGCAUAAACAUCAAGUGAAACAAUUAUCACCGAUAUAAAUAUAAAAACUUACCACUUCGACAAGGUAAAAGCCUUUUGCGAGACCUAUAAGUGAUAUACCCUAGACUGGUGAAAAAAAUGUCUUCAUCUUAUUUUUCUACAAUAUGAAAUUAAAUUAGCAACUACAUCAAUUUGAGUUCAACAAUACACUAGAUAUAUGAUCAGUUCGGACCAGUUUAUACGCUGAUAUAAGUAGAACAUGGUACAAGUGAAAAGCAUCAGGGGAGCAGAGAAAACAUCAAAGGAAAUUACAAGGUGUUGCAGCUGGCAGUGAAGCAACCAGCAGGG
rnacentral:lncRNA from 1 species